ACAAUAAUGUAAAAGUGUGCGAUGUAUAGUCAUGUAGACGCAUUUUAUCUGAUGAAGUGGUAUAAGUGAAGAUCCUAGUCCACUAGCAAUAGGUAUUGAGCCUUUCCAGCUUGAACCUGUACUUCCAGCAAGUGUUGGGGAAGUAGACAGGCCAAGUUUAUCUACCAUGGAAAACAAGUGACGCUGAGCAAAUCAACAACACAAUUUGGUACGGAAAUGAUUGGAAAAGAAAAACAGAAAGGUUCCAUCGGUACUGAUCAAAAGUAUAAGCGAAUAACAUUAUAGUGACAGUUCAACAACAUUUGCAAGAAUAUUUCAUCAUUUAGUUUUGAAUGGUUUUGUCCUGUUUCAUAAAGCAUGUGAUUCAUGCAAGAGUUAUGUUGUUUUAAACUAAGUACGUUCAACAUUACUAGAAAUACACACUUAAGUAUUGGAUUAUUUUCAUUGUUUUGAAUAAAGAAUGCUUGAACCA